UUCCUUUUUAAAAUGUUUCCUGGAAAAUGAGAAUUGUAUUGCACAGUGCUGCUCUAAACACUAGUAAUAGAGUGCAUGAGAAAGGCAAAAAUCCCUGUCCUUGUGGAUAGUAAAUUUUAGUGGGGAAAGGCACAAUCAACAAAAGAACCCAGUAAAAUGCUAUUGUAUUGUAAUAAAGCAGGGACACAGGAUGUGGAAUGUUGGCGAGGGUGGUAGUUUUGAAUUAGGGUCCUUAGAGAAGACUUCUUGAGAAGGUGGUGGUUGAGUGAAGAGCUGAAAGAGGUGAGGGAAGGAGCUAUGUGGCUGAAUGGGGACAUAGUGGUCCAGGCAGAGGGAACAGAAGAUUCAACAGCCCAAAGGACACAGCAUCCCUGGCAGGUCCAUCUCCUGUGGACCACCCAGGAGACCAGUGGCUGGAGGGUAUGAGCCAGGGGUGAUGGGGAUGAUGAGGUCAGGGAGUUGUUGGUAAGAAACGAGAUGGGCAAGUGUGGGAGGGCCUUGCAGGCCAUUGUAAGGAUGUUGGUUUUCACCCAAAGUGAGUUGGGACCAUUGGAGGGUUUUGAGCAGUGGAGUGGCCAUGAUCCAUCCUGCCUUUUAACAGGUUCACUCUGGUUGCCAUGUGGAGAAGGAGUAAAGAGCAAGACUUGAAGUAGGGAGACAUGUUCAGAGGCCAUUGCCAGGAUCCAGGCAUUCCACUGUUUUGUAGAUUUGAAACAAACAACCUCACUGAGGUGGAGUGACCCACAUGAGGUCAUGUAGCUAAGACAUGGAAGAGCUGGGGUUUGAAUCUUUGUCUUGAGUCCAGAUCUGAUGCUCCCAUCAGUAAGACGUGGUGAUGAAUGCAUGAUUCCAGUGGAAUCAAAUCAAUAUGGGCCCUUGGAGAGUGGAAGGUAACUCAUGCGGGACGAAGGAAGGAGGCCAAGAAAGAAGCCUUAGUGUUGGAAUGAACUGGACAAGCAUGAGUGUGAAGGAAAGGAGGAAUCUUUUGAACAGACCCGUCUCUUACACAUCUUUUAAGAGGUUGAUUCAGGGUGGAUCUAUAGUCAUAAUUAAGAAGCUCUGCCUAUUUCUACAGCUGGCUAAUUAAAA